rnacentral:rRNA from 1 species
AUGUCAUUUGUUAUACCUAGCGAGGUUGAUCCAUUAGACUAUGUGUACACAAACAUACCAGAUAGCACCCACAUCCUGAAGCUCGACGCAAACUGCAAACACUGCAAGGCCAGAAAGUUUGUGUCUAAGACGGACGGAUUCUGCUGUCGCAAUGGACAGAUCGAGCUUAAACAACCGGAACCAAUCCCAGAGCUUAUGAGGCUAUGGUCCAGCGUGGAUGCAGAUUCUAGACAUUUUCGUGAGAACAUACGGUUCUUCAACGGGCAUUUCGCCUUCACAACCCUUGGCGUCAGCCUUGAUGAGAACUACACAAACAUGAAGUCUGGGGUGUACACAUUCUGGGCA